AUACGUAGGGUGCAAGCGUUAAUCGGAAUUACUGGGCGUAAAGCGUGCGCAGGUGGUUUUGUAAGUCAGAUGUGAAAUCCCCGGGCUUAACCUGGGAACUGCGUUUGAAACUGCAAGGCUAGAGUGUGGCGGAGGGGGGUGGAAUUCCGCGUGUAGCAGUGAAAUGCGUAGAGAUGUGGAGGAACACCGAUGGCGAAGGCAGCCCCCUGGGUCAGCACUGACGCUCAGGCACGAAAGCAUGGGGAGCAAACAGGAUUAGAAACCCCGGUAGUCC
rnacentral:rRNA from 1 species